GACGAACGCUGGCGGCGUGCCUAAUACAUGCAAGUCGAACGCAGUGGGGACGGGUGAGUAACACGUGGGUGACCUCCCGUCAGAGGGGAUAACACUUGGAAACAGGUGCUAAACCGAUACUGAUGGAUGGACCCGCGGGGCAUUAGCUAGUUCGUGAGGUAACGGCUCACCAAGGCCACGAUGCAUAGCGGACCUGAGAGGGUGAUCGGCCACACUGGGACUGAGACACGGCCCAGACUCCUACGGGAGGCAGCAGUAGGGAAUAUUCGGCAAUGGACGCAAGCCUGAUCGAGCCAUGCCGCGUGUGUGAAGAAGGUCUUAGGAUCGUAAAAUACUGUUGUUAGAGAAGCGUUACCUACACAGAAAGCAACGGCUAACUCCGUGCCAGCAGCCGCGGUAAUAC
rnacentral:rRNA from 1 species